ensembl:snRNA U1 U1 spliceosomal RNA
AGACUGAUGUGGAGAUACCAUGAUCACGAAGGUGGUUUUCCCAGGGCGAGGCUUAUCCAUUGCACUCCGGAUGUGCUGACCCCUGCGAUUUCCCCAAAUGUGGGAAACUCGACUGCAUAAUUUGUGGUAGUGGGGGACUGCGUUCGCGCUCUCCCCUG